GUCCAGGGUAGCCUAGUGGACAUGGCAUCUGCUCGGUUAGCGGAACACUGUAGGUUCAAUUCCCAUACCUGGACA
rnacentral:tRNA from 1 species